rnacentral:rRNA from 1 species
GACGAACGCUGGCGGCGUGCUUAACACAUGCAAGUCGAACGGUGAAGCGCCUUCCUUUUUGGUGGGUGUGGAUGAGUGGCGAACGGGUGAGUAACACGUGAGUAACCUGCCCCCUUCUUCUGGAUAACCGCAUGAAAGUGUGGCUAAUACGGGAUAUUCUGGGUCUGUCGCAUGAUGGGUCUGGGAAAGAUAUUGUUUCGGUGGGGGAUAGGCUCGCGGCCUAUCAGCUUGUUGGUGGGGUGAUGGCCUACCAAGGCGGUGACGGGUAGCCGGCCUGAGAGGGUGGACGGUCACACUGGGACUGAGACACGGCCCAGACCCCUACGGGAGGCAGCAGUGGGGAAUAUUGCACAAUGGGCGCAAGCCUGAUGCAGCGACGCCGCGUGAGGGAUGGAGGCCUGCGGGUUGUGAACCUCUUUCGCCAGUGAAGCAGGCCUGCCUCGUUUGUGGGUGGGUUGACGGUAGCUGGAGAAGAAGCGCCGGCUAACUACGUG